GGCCUGAAGAUUUUUCUUUUUUGUUGUGUCUCUGCCAGAUUUUAGGAUCAGGAUGAUGCUGGCCUCAGAGAAUGAGUUGAGGAGUCCUUCCUCUUCAGUUUUUUGGAAUAGCUUCAGUAGAAAUGGUACCAGCUCUUCUUCAUACACCUGAUGUAGAAACCAAGGCUCAGAUGGGAUAACCGACUUUUCCAAGUCCAACAGACAGUAAGGAAAGGAAUGGCGAGAUCAACUCAGAUCUUCUCUUAGCCAUGCUGAGGGUAAUCGCCUUGCAAUUACCUCUUCAAUGGAUAUUCCUUGCAAGAAUUAAAACUCUAUUAGGCUUUUUCCAAGAUAGCUCCUUCCAGAACUCAGUUCAUCCAGGUCAAAAAAGCACUGGAAGGUAAAUUGGCAACCACUCAUCAUAUCACAUGAUGUUUUCCAAAAUGUAAGACUGUCCCAAUCAAAGGAGCUGGUAGCAAACAUAAUGAACGUCAGCUGAGACUCUAUAAACCAAAAAAGCCCUGGGUUGACUGUGUUCAUGUGACUUCAAAAGAGGGUAAUCUGCAGGGGGUGUUCCUGCAGGGCCUACUUUGCACCCUUUGCUACCCUUUAGAUACCAUUUGACCUCAUUUUCCUCUCUGUGUGAUGGCCAAACCACAGGCUCCCUCUUCUAUCUGGCCCCAUGAGCAUUAAUCAACUUCAACCUUCCCCAAGACCUGGCAGGAGAGAUGCAGUACCUACUUCUUAAUAAACUCAAACUGUCAUUGAAGAUGAAAGAUGAGACUGCAAAACUUCGAGCAUCCCAACUCCCCAGCUUGCCAAGUGCUGGGAAUCCGGAGGGGAGUGCCCUCGAGGACAGGUCUCUGUGGAUGGUGCAGAAAAGUCAGCUAGCUGCCUUCUCUUUUUUCCCUUCUCUUUCUUCCCCUAAAUGCUCCCUCAGUGAUACCACUGUGUCUGCAGUAAAGAGAGACUGUCUAGCUGUUUCUUUUUCAGCAAGACAAUUUGGUGUGUGGUCUGUGGUGCCCACACAUUCUUCUUUGCAAUGAGUGGUGGGUGAACAGUGUUUUCCAAGUUGGAUGUUACAGUACCAUAAGUAGAAACAGAUCUCCCGGAGCUCCGAACACUUUUUCUGCCUGAGUUGGGAGGAUCAGCAGGCUCCUGUGUAGAUGGCCCAGCAGAUUCCUUGGGAGCAGCUUUGCAGCAUUUCCCCACUCACUGGCCCUCACCAAUCAUAAUGAAAGCUCAAUUAGGUGGUGGACUUCCACUUUUGUAACUGCCAGCUCUGGGAAGGACCCCUUACUCCGUAUCUGCUUUUCCAGAAAGCCUGAAGUUUCUCUAACAGAAUAUGAAUCCUGACG
rnacentral:lncRNA from 10 species